GGGAGGGGGGGAGAGAGAGGUGUGCCAAAGUCUCUGCCAGUCCCCGGGCCGGUUCCAGAGCAGCUCUCCCCGAGACAGGCCUGAGCUAGCAGCGGAGUGAGCUCCUAAAAAAUAGGACGACGAAGGGGCGGCUGCAGCCUCUUAAUUCCACUGACGUGGUGGAGCCCGCUGGGCAGCGGAGAAGGAAGCCUGUUUCCAGUUUAUUUAGAGGUUGAGUUUGGUGAUUGGCUCUUUAGGCAUGAAUUAUUCGCGAUUUAUUACUGCAGUGAGUGCAGCAAGAAAAGCAUCUCCAAUAAGAGUCCUCACUGAAUUGAUGCAGAGGUCUCCCCCAUCACUAAUCUCGUUGGCUGGAGGGGCACCAAAUCCGAACACUUUUCCCUUCAAAAAAGCCAGCAUUACCAUUGGCGAUGGAACAUCAGUUGAAAUUGGGGAAGAUUUGAUGAAGAGAGCCCUCCAGUAUUCUGCCUCAGCAGGCAUUCCAGAGCUGCUUUCCUGGUUGGAAGAUUUACAGAAAAGUCUCCACAACCCACCAACGGCUGAGUAUAAGCCUGACAAAGGACAAAUGGCGAUGUGUGUUACCACUGGCAGCCAGGAAGGCUUGUGUAAAGUGUUUGAGAUGCUUAUUAGUCCUGGAGACAACAUCCUUUUGGAUGCACCCACGUAUCCUGGGACACUAGCAGCAUUAAGACCACUGGGCUGCAACAUCAUCAACGUUCCCAGUGACCAACAUGGUAUUAUUCCAAAAGAGCUAAAAGAAAUUCUUUCCAACUGGAAUUCUGAAGAUUCAAAAAAAAGCAACAACAACCUACCCAAAUUUCUGUACACUAUUCCUAAUGGUGGCAAUCCUACUGGAUCUUCACUGACAGUAGAUCGCAAGAAAGAGAUCUAUCAGCUUGCAAGGCAAUAUGAUUUCCUUAUAAUAGAAGAUGAUCCAUAUUAUUUUCUUCAGUUUAAUAAGCCCUGGGCACCAAGCUUCCUUUCAAUGGAUAUUGAUGGCCGAGUUAUCAGGACUGACUCUUUCUCAAAGAUCCUCUCUUCAGGGUUAAGGAUAGGCUUUAUAACUGGUCCCAAGCCUCUCAUUGACAGAGUUAUCCUACAUAUCCAAGUCUCCACAAUGCACACCAGCACUUUCACUCAGCUUAUGACAGCCCAGCUUCUUCAGCAUUGGGGACAAAAGGGUUUCCUGGACAAUGUAGACAGGGUGGUGGAAUUCUAUAAAAAACAGCGGGAUGUAAUGAUUAUUGCCGCAGACAAGUGGCUAAAACACUUAGCAGAGUGGCAUACUCCUACUGCUGGAAUGUUUCUAUGGAUUAAACUUAAGGGAGUUUCUGAUACACAGGAGCUAAUCAUGAAGAAAGCUUUGGAGAAACAAAGAGAUUUCUCUUUAGGUGCUCCUGGUUCCUGGAAGAGCAUUUAACAUUAACAGUUCCGAUCCCAGCUCUUAUGUCAGAGCUUCCUUCUCACUUUCUUCUCCAAUGCAGAUUGAUCAGGGUUUUCAAAGGUUGGCUCAGCUCAUCAAAGAAGCAGAUUGGCUUGACUAAAGAGAAGAAGUCUUAAGAAAAUGAGAGCAUCUAGUAGUAGUAAGAGGAGGAGGAGGAGGAGAAUCAUCAUCAUCUUCAGGAGGAAGUCCAGCUUUUGGAUGUAUUUGAGUUUGUAGCUGUCCAUAGAGUACAGUAUGUUGAUAUGUAUGUAUUAUUCCUCAUGCCAGUGCUGUUGAUAAGGGUGAUAGAUACCUCAAAACAGUGGCUCACAUUCUGCGCACAGUAAUUAUCAGGAGGCCAAUUCAGAUGAGACGCAGCCCAGCACACACACGUAGGACAGGGUCAUGCCAAAAGAACAUUGGAGGCUGUGCUAAUGCACUGUCCAGGCCUUGCUUAAUCACAUGGGGGGGCAUCUGAAUUGCUCCUCUACACAUGUUCAAAAUACCUGUUUAAACAGAUGAUUAAGGGCUGCCCCAAAAGAACAUGGAGACCUCCUCGGGCUCUGAUCCCAUCCUGAUCACAUGUGCUGGGCUGAAUGUACUUUUAACAGGCCAAGUAACAAUAUAGAUUCUGAAAGUUUGAAUAUUGUUUAUCAAAUUAUGUUUUAUGUUUUAUUAAAUGCAAAACAGAUUGCAAGGAA